UCGGAUAUGAUGUAAUGGUUAACAUUACCUCUCAUUUGUAGUUUACAGUAGCUCAGGCUUCAAUUCCCUGUAUCUGAA